GUUAAGUAAGUACUAAUGGCUGGCGUGCGGCUCAGCAUGUUUUGUAUUCGUGCCAAGUGAUCGUGGCGGGGAAUCCUGUGUUUGGCAGAGUGGACACCCCGCCGCUGCCCGUUCCCGGAAGGUCAGACACGGCUGCAGUCCGUUCUCCUGACCGAUGCGCAGUUCUUCAGCACGGCUCAUACGGGUCCUGGACUUCCUCACCAACAGACCAAAGCAUGUAUGGAUUGGCACAGACACUUCCUCUACCCUGACCCCCAACAAUAGCACCGGGAAGCGUUUUGAUUCCACUGGUGUACUCCUUGUUGACACAUGACUGCGUGGCCGGACACAGGUCCAACACUCAUUAAGUUUGCUGACGGCUCCUCCAUCGUGGGCCUGAUCGCUGAUAAUGAUGGACUACAGAGAGGAGGAAGCAAGGUGCGGCUGAUGCCCUCAUCUGCAAUGAAAGGGAUGCUGUGGAGAGGGUCAGCAGCUUCAUGUUCCUUGGGGUCACCAUCAGCAAUAAAGCCCCAGCAAUGCCUUCACUUCCUCUGGCGUCUGAGGAAAAGCCCAGACGCCCACCACGGUCCAGAAGGAGCGUUGUGGAAUCCGUCCUCACAGGUUGUAUUACAUCCAGGAACUGUGGAGCAAAGCAGACCUUUGAAGUUUUCUUCUCAUUGAGGCGCCCUGAUGUGCUAUCAGAGCAGGAAAUCAGCCGCGGAGGAUUCUGUGCCGCAUGUGGGUGGCUGUGGGUGAAUCCUUGGCUGCUUUCGCUUUUGGAUACUGAUGCCAGUGACAUCACUACAUGCGACUGGAUAGCACGCCUACAUGCAGCUGGAUACAUGCAGCUGAAUAGUGCAUCUGCAUGUACUGGAGCCAACGUGCAAAACUCACUGCAGGAGCAAUAUGCGACUGUUGUUUCUGGGAAAGUCGGAAUUAAACGAAAUAUUACAAUAAGCUUUCUAAGCUGUGUGUGUAUGGUUUGUGAAUGUUUAUGUAUCACUUAUGGUCAUAAUGAUCCCAUGUUUCCUGGCUUAUGACACUGUCAUCAGUGCCUUUGUAGGAUACAUUUUUUACGGUAGCUGAGAUUGUGUUUGUGCGCUGUAAUGUGUAAGGAAGGCGGUUUGAUAGGCAGCUCUUCAUAUGAGAUGUUUUCGCACAAGUAAUGUAAUAAGAGUCAUAUUUACUCACCCCAGACAUUGCAACAGAGCAAAUUAUAACAUAAUUAACUACAUAUGUGUGUGUGUGUGUGUGUGUAGGAGAUUUGUUUAUUAUCUUUAAGUGUAGUUAUAAGAAUAGUUUUGUGAAUUCAUUGUAAUUAUCAUUAUUUUCUAUGACACCACAAUAGCACUAUGGCUUAAACAGUUAAGGUCAUUAUAUGAAAGUGUGUGACCCUACUUGGUAAUAAGAGAGUAAUGGUGGUCAGCUGUUGUUAUUCUGUUCAGUUUUUUUUCACUAUCUUUGCUAUUUAUAUUUUAUUAUUAUAACCUAAAUAAAGAUUG